rnacentral:rRNA from 1 species
AGGACUAGUAUGAAUGGCCUCACGAGAGCUAUACUGUCUCCCCCCUUCAAUCAGUGAAACUGAUCUCCUCGUGAAGAAGCGAGGAUGCCUAAAUUAGACGAGAAGACCCCAUGGAGCUUAAAACUUGUAUCACUGCCUUAACUACAUCAACUACUUAGGCAAAAUGACUACUAGUCUUUCGGCUGGGGCGACCACGGAGAAAAAUUCAACCUCCACGAUGAAAGAAACACCCUAAUUAAAGAGCUACUACUCUAAAAAUCAAUAAGUUGACAUAAAUUGACCCAAACACUUUGAUCAACGAACCAAGUUACCC